rnacentral:lncRNA from 1 species
AUAAAAUAGGAUUUUGGUUUGAAAAAAAAAUAUUUUGGUUUUAAAAGGUCAUUUUUGUCAAUUAUGAUUUUGGACUGAACUAGAUGCAUCCAUAUGCACCAUGAAAACCCACCUUCUGUUGGGUAAAAAUUUGAAGUGAGUUUUCACAAAUACAGUUGGGUGAUCCAUCUAGAUGUUGCAUUAUAAUGCACUAAACGAACAUUGAUUUGCAUCUUCACCCAUGAUCACCUGGAUGAGCAAACAAAUAACACCUAACAUGUAUGAUGUGGUCUGAGUACGAAAAAUAAGUAUCAAAUUUCUUUAAAUCUAAUGAGGAAUCAUGUUUUGUAUGUUAUGCUUGGUUGCUUUGUGUACGAUAAUACAAAAAGAUCUUUUUUGUUAUUGUUUCUAAGAUCUAAAUUGUUGAUAAUAUAGAGUAAACAUGUUAUUUUUCCACGAGAACUAUUAUAUAGCAUAAGAUGUGAAUCAAACUAUGACCUCAUGCUAUAUGUCCAUAAAAUGAAUAUUGUAAACGUAUUUUUCCCCAAAUUAAAAGUUACGAUGUUAUUUCUCCCCGAACCGAUGAUUCAAAACUUAAUUACGGUUAACUAUUUAGCAACCAAAACUCAAUUUCAAUUAAACCAAACCAUCUGACUCAAAAAAAUAAGAAAAUAAAACAGACCCGUCAACCCGACCCA